CCUACGGGUGGCUGCAGUAGGGAAUAUUGCUCAAUGGGGGAAACCCUGAAGCAGCAACGCCGCGUGGAGGAUGAAGGUUUUAGGAUUGUAAACUCCUUUUGUUAGAGAAGAUUAUGACGGUAUCUAACGAAUAAGCACCGGCUAACUACGUUCCAGCAGCCGCGGUAAUACGGAGGGUACAAGCGUUACUCGGAAUCAAUGGGCGUAAAGUGUGCGUAGGCGGGGUAAUAAGUCAGAUGUGAAAUCCUGUAGCUUAACUACAGAACUGCAGUUGAAACUGUUACUCUUGAGUGUGGGAGGGGUAAGUGGAAUUCUUGGUGUAGCGGUAAAAUCCGUAGAUAUCAAGAGGAAUACUCAUUGCGAAGGCGGCCUGCUGGAACAUUACUGACGCUGAGGCACGAAAGCGUGGGGAGCGAACAGGAUUAGAUACCCUUGUAGUC
rnacentral:rRNA from 1 species